rnacentral:lncRNA from 1 species
CUUGAAUUCCGAGCCUAUCCAUAUUUUUACUUUUCAAUUCCGACAACUUUGAAUUUUCACGGCAGCUACAGUGCUUUCCCAGCAGCUACAGCGUUCCUGUUUACCGGCAGCACCAGUUUUCAGUCCUCUGUUCAGUUUCAGCGAGUUUUCAGUUGAUAAUACAACGAUGUCUUUGGGACUAGAUGCUUUCGGGCCUAAAAACCAGGGUUCUGGCAGUUCCGGU